rnacentral:lncRNA from 1 species
GAUCCAAGAUGUUGUUUGAGCCAUGCAACUAGAAGAUCUCAUAGAACUAAAGUUAUCUAAUUUACAGAAAAGGUUUUACGUGACGUCUAUUGUACAGAUUCAUAUGAAAACCAUAGUUCAAACUCCAAGGUUUAAGAAGUAAGAAAGAUCAUGCCAUUUGCAACAAACAUGCAUGCAUAUUUGAAAAGCAACUUGAAAAAGUGGGAAGAUGAAGUGUUUGGAGGGCUUUUAAAUGGAGUAAAAUGGAAACAAAGACAAGUUAUCCCAACACCAAAAAGAGUAGGGGAUAGAAGGAUAUGUCAAGGUUUGAAAACCAUCCUUCAGAAAUGCAGGAAAGUCAAAGCUAGAAAUUUCUUUUAUGGUACCCAGGAUUUGUUUUAAUUAAGUUUGAUAAGGCACACAGGCACGAACGUGAUUGUGGUUAAUAAAGGCAUUUGCAUUAUUCUCACGGUCUCCUAAAAAUAGAAGGCCCAGCACACUAUGCCUGGGAAGUAUCUGCAUGAGAUGAGCAGGCAGAGAGGAGAGCUGAGGGCAGGGCCUUGACUGGAGUUUUUGUUGGGAGGAAUGGACAAUGGAAAGCACGCAAGCCAAAUCUGUUGUGGGAAAACUAGAAGACCAAAAAAAGCACGAAAGUCAAGAAAGAAGUCUCUUUUCACAUGAAAGUGGCCUGAAGACAAAUACUGCUAUGAAUGGUUACAUCUAGGACUUCUGAAAUUAGCCCCAGAUUCAACUCAUUUUUUUCUGCAUUUGCUGAGCAAUAUGACAUGUUUACACCGAUUAGCUAAAAAGUUAUGUGAAGAAUGGGCAACAAUAUCUCUAAGGCAAGAUAUGUUCAGAUCCAAUAUAGUUCAUAUAGACCUUGUCAGAGUAAAUGACCAUGUGCCUUUCAGAACACUAAAGAAUAAAAUCCUUCCACAUUAGAAUGACAAA